rnacentral:rRNA from 1 species
GACGAAGGAUGCAAGCGUUAUCCGGAUUCAUUGGGUUUAAAGGGAGCGUAGGUGGCCUUAUAAGUCAGUGGUGAAAUCUCUCGGCUUAACCGAGAAAUUGCCAUUGAUACUGUAGGGCUUGAGUACAGUUGCUGUGGGCGGAUUAUGACAUGUAGUGGUGAAAUACAUAGAGAUGUCAUAGAACACCGAUUGCGAAGGCAGCUCACAAAACUGUAACUGACACUGAGGCUCGAAAGUGCGGGGAUCAAACAGG